rnacentral:rRNA from 1 species
GACGAACGCUGGCGGCGUGCUUAACACAUGCCAGUCGAACGGAAAGGCCCCUUCGGGGGUACUCGAGUGGCGAACGGGUGAGUAACACGUGAGUAACCUGCCCUUGACUUCGGGAUAACUUCAGGAAACUGGGGCUAAUACCGGAUAGGAAUCCUUGCUGCAUGGUGGGGGUUGGAAAGCUUCGGCGGUUUUGGAUGGACUCGCGGCUUAUCAGCUUGUUGGUGGGGUAGUGGCUUACCAAGGCUUUGACGGGUAGCCGGCCUGAGAGGGCGACCGGCCACAUUGGGACUGAGAUACGACCCAGACUCCUACGGGAGGCAGCAGUGGGGAAUAUUGCACAAUGGGCGGAAGCCUGAUGCAGCAACGCCGCGUGCGGGAUGACGGCCUUCGGGUUGUAAACCGCUUUCAGCAGGGGCGAAGCUUGUGGUGACGGUACCUGCAGAAGAAGCACCGGCUAACUACGUG